UUCGCAAAUGAUGACAAAUAGACAGGGACAUCAGCACUCUAAGGAGAGUGAUGACUUAGUCUAAAAUGGGAAUCUCUCUGAUGCGUU